rnacentral:SRP_RNA from 1 species
GCCGGGUGUGGUGGCACACGCCUGUAAUCCCAGCUACUUGGGAGGCUGAGGCAGGAGAAUUGCUUGAACCUAGGAGGUGGAGGUUGCAGUGAGCCGAGAUUGCGCCACUGCACUCCAGCCUGGGCGACAGAGCAAGACUCUGUCUCAA